rnacentral:rRNA from 1 species
GGGGGGGGGGGGUGGCCAAUACAUGCAGUCGAGCGAAUGGAUUAAGAGCUUGCUCUUAUGAAGUUAGCGGCGGACGGGUGAGUAACACGUGGGUAACCUGCCCAUAAGACUGGGAUAACUCCGGGAAACCGGGGCUAAUACCGGAUAACAUUUUGAACCGCAUGGUUCGAAAUUGAAAGGCGGCUUCGGCUGUCACUUAUGGAUGGACCCGCGUCGCAUUAGCUAGUUGGUGAGGUAACGGCUCACCAAGGCAACGAUGCGUAGCCGACCUGAGAGGGUGAUCGGCCACACUGGGACUGAGACACGGCCCAGACUCCUACGGGAGGCAGCAGUAGGGAAUCUUCCGCAAUGGACGAAAGUCUGACGGAGCAACGCCGCGUGAGUGAUGAAGGCUUUCGGGUCGUAAAACUCUGUUGUUAGGGAAGAACAAGUGCUAGUUGAAUAAGCUGGCACCUUGACGGUACCUAACCAGAAAGCCACGGCUAACUACGUGCCAGCAGCCGCGGUAAUACGUAGGUGGCAAGCGUUAUCCGGAAUUAUUGGGCGUAAAGCGCGCGCAGGUGGUUUCUUAAGUCUGAUGUGAAAGCCCACGGCUCAACCGUGGAGGGUCAUUGGAAACUGGGAGACUUGAGUGCAGAAGAGGAAAGUGGAAUUCCAUGUGUAGCGGUGAAAUGCGUAGAGAUAUGGAGGAACACCAGUGGCGAAGGCGACUUUCUGGUCUGUAACUGACACUGAGGCGCGAAAGCGUGGGGAGCAAACAGGAUUAGAUCUUUUUUGUUACUCCAAAA